GACGAACGCUGGCGGCGUGCCUAAUACAUGCAAGUAGAACGCUGAAGAGAGGAGCUUGCUCUUCUUGGAUGAGUUGCGAACGGGUGAGUAACGCGUAGGUAACCUGCCUUGUAGCGGGGGAUAACUAUUGGAAACGAUAGCUAAUACCGCAUAACAAUGGAUGACACAUGUCAUUUAUUUGAAAGGGGCAAUUGCUCCACUACAAGAUGGACCUGCGUUGUAUUAGCUAGUAGGUGAGGUAAUGGCUCACCUAGGCGACGAUACAUAGCCGACCUGAGAGGGUGAUCGGCCACACUGGGGCUGAGACACGGCCCAGACUCCUACGGGAGGCAGCAGUAGGGAAUCUUCGGCAAUGGGGGCAACCCUGACCGAGCAACGCCGCGUGAGUGAAGAAGGUUUUCGGAUCGUAAAGCUCUGUUGUAAGUCAAGAACGGGUGUGAUAGUGGAAAGUUCACACUGUGACGGUAGCUUACCAGAAAGGGACGGCUAACUACGUG
rnacentral:rRNA from 1 species